ensembl:lncRNA
AUGGUAUUGUNNNNNNNNNNNNNNNNNNNNNNNNNNNNNNNNNNNNNNNNNNNNNNNNNNNNNNNNNNNNNNNNNNNNNNNNNNNNNNNNNUAAAGUAAGAAAACUUCUCUUUUUCGUUUGAAGCGAGCAAUAUUUUUGUUUUUAACGUGAAGAUUAUCGAGUGAUUAACGCAACAUCAAAGACCAUAACGUUACUUGGAUAUUAACGGACUUUCGCGGGAUUCUCGGCUGAGAUUCUCCGAUGCCAUUUGGAUUACAUACACUACGGAUUUUGCUGAUCGGACUUUAGUGAGCUUUCACAACUUUUUCGGACGUUUUGGGGAUAUUAUUGGACUUUGAAUAUUGCUGAACUUUGCUGCGUCAUGGUCCCGCCAUGUUUGCGUUUCCACACAGCAUCGCAAGAGGGCGAUCUCAUCUGCUUUCGUGAUGAACGCAAUGCGCGCUUUGAACACGAACAUUGAUUACUAUGGAAACAGAGGAAUUGAACGCGGCCUCUAAAAGAGUGCCGAAGAUGACUGUUAAAGCACAAGAGGAACGGCUUCAUCACUUGUUGGGAACUAGAAGAGCCAAGCUGGGACAUUUAACAAGGCAAAUGAGAGAAAUUGAAGCUUUGCUUGAGGACUCUGGUAAUGUUGACACUGUGUAUGAUUGUAUAAAUGGUGAGUUUGCACAGUCCUUUGCUGCAUUCCAAGACAUUAAUUAUGCAACCAGAGAAUUUAUGUCAGAUGAUGAGGCAUAUUUAGAUCAGUUACAUUGGUUCGAACCGAAGUCUCAAGCAGUUAAGCACUUUGUAGACAAGGUUAAAGACUGGGUUGAAAAAGUAAAACUCCAAUCCAAGGAGGCAGAGCAAUGUGAUGCAGAGGUUGAAUGUAAUGACAGUGCCUCAAUGGUUAUCUCUUCUUCACAACUGCCUCUCUUUCCAAAAAAAUCUCGUAGUCAGGUGGCUUCAGGUGUUUCAUCUACAGCUUCUUCUAGACUGAAAAUUGAAACUGAAAGGGCAGAGCUGUUGGCACGAGCUAAUGCGUUAUUACAGAAACAAGAGCUUGAGAGAGAGGAAACUGAGCUCAAAGCAAAGAGGGAAAAUUUAGAGCUCCAAACUGCUAUUGCUGCGGCUGAAGCCAAACUUCAGGUUUUGUCCAUGUAUGAACCAGCUCGUAGUGUUUCUGAUGCAUCUGGUAAUGCAGCUAGGGCUGCCACUAUUGCAGAAACCCUUAAAGCUACACCUAAUCAAGUAGUACGGCCAAAAACAUUUUCUCGUGAGCUAGCACCUGAUACUGAUGCAGUUCCAAGAGACAGUGAUGUGCAUCAUGAUUUUGCUAAAUCACAACCAACAAGGUCAGAUGUGAGAAUUCCUUCACAUGUUGAUACAGGAAGCUUGUUCAACAUAAUGCAACGUCAAAAUGACAUUGCUGAGAUUUUCAUGAAACAGCAGUCUUUAUCUACUCUUCCACCUAUGGAUAUUCCAGUGUUUAGUGGAGACCCGCUGGAUUUCACAUUCUUUAUUCGAGCCUUUGAACAUGGAGUAGAGAGUAAGACAACAAAUAACAAAGACAGAUUGUACUUCUUAGAACAGUUUACCAAGGGGCAACCAAAGGUUCUGGUACGCAGCUGUCAACACAUGCCUUCUGAAAGGGGCUACAAAGAGGCUAAAAGACUACUCUACCAACAUUUUGGUAAUGAGUACACAAUCGCCACUGCCUAUACAGAAAAGGCACUGAACUGGCCAGCUUUAAGGCCUGAGGAUAAUAAAGCCUUAAAUGAGUUUGCUCUUUUCCUUACUGGUUGUUGCAACACCAUUGACAGUGUGGAAUAUGUUGAGGAAAUGGACAGUCCAAGCAACAUGCGUGCAAUUGUAUCCAAGCUUCCUUUCAAACUGAGAGAAAAAUGGAGAGCAGUUGCCUGUGAGCUUCAAGAAAGGACUGGCUUGAGAGCAAGAUUCUGUGACUUGGUUAGUUUUGUAGACAAGCAGGCAAAGAUUGUUUCGCAUCCACUGUUUGGCAAUAUUCAGGAUAACACGAUGGCAAAAGACAAUCUCAAAUUCAAAACAAACAGAUCAAGUAACUUGCAAGUGAAAGAAAGGAAAACCACAUUUGCAACAAGUGUAACACCUGUUCCAGAACCCAAAAAACAAAGAACAAUGGAAAAAGAUCUAGCAAAAGCAAGCCAUGAAACCCUCUGCUUAUGCUGUAAUAAAAACCAUGGAUUGGACGUUUGCAGCAUUCUGAAGCAUAAGCCACACAAUGAAAAACUUGACUUUCUGAAAUCUAAAGGCUUGUGCUAUGGUUGUUUAUUACCAGGUCACAUGAGUAAAGGUUGUGUGCAAAGACUAACUUGUCAAAAAUGCUCAUUAAAGCAUCCGACCAUUCUUCAUCUCCCAGACAGGAAGCCAGUGCUUCCAAAAUCUCAAGAUGGAGACAGCUCCUUAACUGUCACUGACACUGUCAUCAGCGAAACUUGUGGCUGCACUGGGGCUGGUCAUUUGGUGUGCUCUUUAGCCAUAGUACCAGUUAGAGUUAAGUCCAAAAAAAGCAAUCAGGAAGUUUUGACUUACGCCUUCUUGGACCCAGGAAGUUCUGCGACAUUUUGUACAGAACAGCUAAUGAAGGAAUUAAAGCUAACUGGCAGGAAAACAAACAUCCUACUGCGUACUAUGGGACAGGAAAGGUCUGUUAGUACACAUGUUUGCACCGAACUGGAAAUAAGUGGACUGAACGAGAAUAAUUUUGUGGAUCUCCCUCAGGUGUUCUCUCAAAAAGAGAUUCCAGUUAAAGGAGAAAACAUUCCGCAACAGAAGGAUGUUCAGAAAUGGAAAUAUCUUGAAGAGGUGCAUCUUCCUCAGAUCGAUGCCGGUAUUGGCUUACUAAUCGGAACAAAUGUACCUAAGAUUCUUGAGCCAUGGAAGGUCAUCAACAGUAGAGGAGAUGGGCCUUAUGCUGUCAAGACCAUCCUUGGCUGGAUUGUAAAUGGACCUUUGGAGAGAGAGAACAUCCAAACUAACAGAAACACAGGAUGGACACAGGUGAUGGCAAACAGGAUUUCAGUGGUAACUUUGGAGAACCUAAUCCAACAGCAAAUGAGGUAUGAUUUUCCUGAAUGUGAACAAGCUGAAAAUUUGGAAAUGUCCAUUGAGGAUAGACAGUUUAUGAAGUCUGUAUCACAGUCCAUA